rnacentral:rRNA from 1 species
AUUGAACGCUGGCGGCAUGCCUUACACAUGCAAGUCGAACGGUAACGCGGGGAAACCUGGCGACGAGUGGCGAACGGGUGAGUAAUGUAUCGGAACGUGCCCAGUUGUGGGGGAUAACUGCUCGAAAGAGCAGCUAAUACCGCAUACGACCUGAGGGUGAAAGCGGGGGAUCGCAAGACCUCGCGCAAUUGGAGCGGCCGAUAUCAGAUUAGGUAGUUGGUGGGGUAAAGGCUCACCAAGCCGACGAUCUGUAGCUGGCAUGAGAGGACAACCAGCCACACUGGGACUGGGACACGGCCCAGACUCCUCCGGGAGGCAGCAGUGGGGAAUUUUGGACAAUGGACGCAAGUCUGAUCCAGCCAUGGCGCGUGCGGGAAGAGGGCCUUCGGGUUGUAAACCGCUUUUGUCAGGGAAGAAAAGGUUCCUUCUAAUAUAGGGGGCUCAUGACGGUACCUGAAGAAUAAGCACCGGCUAACUACGUGCCAGCAGCCGCCGUAA